AGAGUUUGAUCCUGGCUCAGGAUGAACGCUGGCGGCGUGCUUAACACAUGCAAGUCGAACGGACCAUAUUCGUAUGGUUAGUGGCAGACGGGUGCGUAACACGUGGGUGACCUGCCCUCAAGUGGGGAACAACUCCGCUAACGCGGAGCUAAUACCGCAUAUGUUCGCUUUUUCGGUAAGGCGAGUAAAGCAGUAAUGCGCUUGGGGAUGGGCCUGCGGCGGAUUAGCUAGUUGGUGGGGUAACGGCCUACCAAGGCGAUGAUCCGUAGGGGGCGUGAGAGCGUGGCCCCCCACACUGGCACUGAGACACGGGCCAGACUCCUACGGGAGGCAGCAGUGAGGAAUAUUGCACAAUGGGCGCAAGCCUGAUGCAGCAACGCCGCGUGAGGGACGAAGGCCUUCGGGUCGUAAACCUCUUUUCUGGGGGACGAGUAAGGACGGUACCUCAGGAAUAAGUCUCGGCUAACUACGUGCCAGCAGCCGCGGUAAAACGUAGGAGGCGAGCGUUAUCCGGAUUUACUGGGCGUAAAGCGUACGCAGGUGGCUUCGUUAGUCGGACAUGAAAGCUCCCGGCUUAACUGGGAGAGGUUGUUCGAUACUGCGGGGCUUGAGGUUGGGAGAGGGACGUGGAAUUCCCGGUGUAGUGGUGGAAUGCGUAGAUAUCGGGAGGAACACCAGUGGCGCAAGCGGCGUCCUGGCCCACACCUGACGCUGAGGUACGAAAGCGUGGGUAGCAAACAGGAUUAGAUACCCUGGUAGUCCACGC
rnacentral:rRNA from 1 species